rfam:Phaeomoniella chlamydospora PC4_TCR_scaffold_v01_64, whole genome shotgun sequence.
GGCAAGAUGGCCGAGUUGGUUAUGGCGCCAGGUUAAGGUUACCUUAACAACAUUUCCUGGUUCCGAAAGGAGCGUGGGUUCGAGUCCCACUCUUGUCA